UGAAGGGCUGCAGCUCAACGAAAGGACAUCUGCUUUGUAUGCAGAAGGUCCCAGGAUCCAUCCCUGGCAGUUUAA